rnacentral:rRNA from 1 species
CGUAGGGUGCGAGCGUUAAUCGGAAUUACUGGGCGUAAAGCGUGCGCAGGCGGUUUAGUAAGACAGGCGUGAAAUCCCCGGGCUCAACCUGGGAACUGCGCUUGUGACUGCUAAGCUAGAGUACGGCAGAGGGGGGUGAAUUCCACGUGUAGCAGUGAAACGCGUAGAGAUGUGGAGGAACACCAAUGGCGAAGGCAGCCCCCUGGGUCGAUACUGACGCUCAUGCACGAAAGCGUGGGUAGCAAACAGGAUUAGAUACCCUGGUAGUCCACGCCCUAAACGAUGUCAACUAGGUGUUGGGAGGGUAAAACCUUUUAGUACCGGAGCUAACGCGUGAAGUUGACCGCCUGGGGAGUACGGCCGCAAGGUUA